AUUUUUCAUAAUUUUUAAUAUAUCCUAUCAUUUGCCUGUGGUAUCUACAUAUAAGUCCAUAUUUCACUCCGGUCCUAAGCACCUACCUUGUGAUUUAUUGCCUUAAUGUACUAGAUAAUCAAAUUGGCUGGCGUGAACAGUGCUUCAAAGUACCGUACAGUCCUGAAACUCAGUAAGGGAGCAAGAUGCCUGGUAAUGCAAACCACACUCCAGGAAAUAACUGCUUAAUGCAUGGCACCUGUCUGCCAAAUGUGAAACGGCAGGAGUGGGUUACAGGCAGUGGAAAUAGAGUCUCAAAUCUCGAUGUACCAUCCUAUGAGAUGGGCAUUCUGGCUUACUAUGUCUUCUUUUAAAUGUGAUUACUUUGAGAACACAGCUGAAGAACACUCAAAGUAAUCCUGUUUUGCAACAGAGUCUUAGCUAGGGAACCUGAUUUGGUAUCAAGAGUCAUUAUCCAGGGACUGAUUUCCCAAGCAAUCUUUCUCUGUUCAUUAGACUUAUUAUGGUUUAAGGGACUAGCUUAAUAUGCCACGUGUCUGUCCUGGCACCCUGGUCUGGAAGGGUGACUGCAUCUUCCCGAUGUCUGGUGUCUGUAGUCAGGAAGAUGUAGGCUAUGGUGGCCUACUCUGUAUAAACAGCUGUAGUAACAGUUUCAGAACAUCUGGUUCUCUUAUCGGCCUCAUCACUAACCAGCUGUCUCAUCUUGGGACAAAUACUUAAAAAUCUCUAUUAAACUGGGUUCCAAUCUAAAGUAGAAUUCCCAUACUAUAAACGCCUUCUAGAGAGAUGUGGAGCUGUUUAUUCUAGCCAGAUACAGUUGAUCAGAGAUUUUUUCUUUCCAUAAAAUUUUGCUUGAGGGGAUGACAAUUCCUUGGGAUACUGGCUUGGGAAACACUAACUUACCCAGAUGCUACAAACACUAGGCCUGACUCAUCAGUUACAUGCAUAAGCCAUAACGUCAGGAUUCACUAAGCGAGAUGGGAUGAGGACAGACUCAGGGCUCACAACUUCAAGGGCCAGGCUACUUACUGAUUUUUUUCGGCUUGUGGAGCAAAUGGGGAAUUCUGUGAAGGCCAACCUUCCAGAUUGGGGUUGCCAUCAGUAAGCGCAAGCAGAUGAAAGAACAGGAUUUUAUUAAACCCUACUUCAAUGACUACUGCUGUAGAAGACAAUACAAGAGAAGAAAGGUCCUUCCAGGAUUGAGAUAAGCAAAAAUGUUUCUGUCCUCCUUGGGUAAACUCCAUAGAGGAUGCAGCCCAAAGCUGGACUUCUUUGGAGAGGCAAGAACAACACAGUGGAUGAAAAAGGGACUUCAGGUUCAGAUGGAGCCGGGUGAAGGUGGACUCUGCCUCUUGGUCCAGAGGGUGGAUGGCAGUAUUCUUGUGUAUAAAGCAUGUCUGGGAGUUUCUGUCAUGGCGCAGCAGAAAUGAAUCCGAUUAGGAGCCACGAGGUUGCAGGUUCGAUCCCUGGCCUAGCUCAUUGGGUUAAGGAUCCAGCGUUGCCGUGAGUUGUGGUGUAGAUCACAGAUGCUGCUCCGAUCUGGCAUUGCUGUGACUCUGGCGUAGGCUGGCAACAACAGCUCUGAUUAAUCCCCUAGCCUGGGAACCUCCAUAUGCCACAGUGUGGCCCUAAAACGACAAAAGACCAAAAAAAAAGGCAUGUCUGGACGAAAAUGCAAAACAGAGGAGCUCAACGGAUCAUGAGAAGGCCUACGAAGACUGGCCUUCAUCCAAAAGGCAAUAGGUUUCUGGAGAGAGACCUGAUGUAAGUAAGACAUGGUGAGGGAAAGAAAU
rnacentral:lncRNA from 1 species